UUUCAUGGAUAAAUGUAUUCUAUUAAAUCACAGAUUUCCUUUUUCUUUUGGUUUGUGUUUGUGAUUACAUUAGUGUAAAAUUGCCUCGUGGCUUCACAAACGCCAAGGUCAAUCACAAAAUGUAAAAUAAUAUGCUAGUUUACAUUAUUUUAUUAUUUUCUGCCAGGCAUUAAUGCUUUGAUGUUCUACUGACAUAUCAUUUAUAUUUCUAUAGAACUCCCUUAUGUAAUGAUCAAGGAAGUUGGCAGCUUUUCCCUGCACCGUCAAUUUCUGAAAUACCAGCUACUCAGGACUUACAGAAUGAAAUAAAAUCUCUCUGGUCUACAGGUUCUACCGAGAGACCAAAAAUAUUCAUCCCCCCCAUUGAAAAAAACAACAGAAAGAGAGAAUUCCUUUCAACAAAAAUCUUGUUUAAAACUCCACAGCCAAAGAUUCUGAGGAGUUCUGACAACACAUCACCAGGUUUAGAAACUAGCGAGCAGAGUGACAGUUAUAAUGUCACAUUGUCUAUGUUUAAGGCGAUGAAUUUCUGAAAAACGCUGAGAACAUUCAGAGCCCCUUGCAUGGCUUGGGUCUUGAACUGUUCAGCACAUGUGAUUCUGCCACUGCGAAAUACCGACAAACCACAAAAACAGCUCAUGUCCUUCCUUUAACACCACAACCACUUAACGUACAAGGUGUAUCAAGCAAGGGUUCAGGAAUUCUGAGGUAUAUUAAGUAUCUCUUCCUGCAUGCAUAUUCAUUUUCUAUACCGAGGAUAUUGAAACGCGAUCUACCCUCCGGAUCCUUAAGCAAAUGCAUUCAGGACUUUAACACCAACAUAACAGAUGGAAUCUCAAGUCCCAGGAAAGCUGCUUGUGAUCACACCACCCCCAUUGUAUUAGUGGAUUGAGCAUAGGUUCUAAGAAUAUGUAGGAUUUAAAUAUGCAUUUCAUAGGGCAGCAGUGUGGAGUAGAAGUUAGGGCUUUGGACUCUUGACCGGAGGGUCGUGUGUUCAAUCCCUGGUAGGGGACGCUGCUGCUGUACCCUUGAGCAAGGUACUUUACCUAGAUUGCUCCAGUAAAAACCCAACUGUAUAAAUGGGUAAUUGUAUGUAAAAAAUAAUAUCUUGUAACAAUUGUAAGUCGCCCUGGAUAAGGGCGUCUGCUAAGAAAUAAAUAAUUCUAAUAAAAUAUGAGAGUUAGAGAUAUUUACCAUUCUCAUCCUGACUUUUUGAAGAAUACACAUUUUCCUUGAUUGGAUGCUGUUCUCAAUGUUAAAACGAGUUGCAUGUGUGUUUGUUUUAACACAUUUCAUUUGGGCUGCAUAGAGUAUGUACAUCACAAGGUUUUUUGCAUAUGCCUAGGGCGUUCAUGCUAAUGCUUUAGAUCUAGAAAGAAACAAAACUGUUUCUGUUAAAGACAAAUUGCAGAUCUCUUGCAUUCCUUUGUAGAUUAACAAAUGCAGGGUAUAUUUCACACACAGAAGCACCAUAUGCAACAGUUACAGCACUUAAAGGGAACUAACUGUUGUAGAGGUUGUAUACAAUAACACAUUUUAGCCUUAACUAUUUUAUAGCUGCACAAUUCCGACCUGUUUUUAAGGAGUUUCCAUGUUUCAAUUAUAUUCAGUCUGGAGCUCUAGAUGAAGUAAGUAUGAAUAUUGUUAAUUGCAGUAGAUGUCGGAAAUUAAAAGAAAUAUCUUACAUUUUUCAUUGACGUAUUUAUAUUUUGUAACUUUUUUGUAGCUUUUUUACACCAAUAGAAAUGUUGUUAUUUGUGCUCCAGCUGGUUCUGGGAAAACUGUACAUUCUGAACUUGCCAUUAUUUGUUUGAUUAUGAAAGUUCCACCACCAUGGUCCAACAUUAAAGCUGUAUACAGUAAGUUUUUGCUUCACUCUUAAGUGACCGGAGUUUGAAAGUUACUAUGCUUUAAAUGCAUGUUGUAGUAUAUGUUUAGAAUAAUGUUUUUCAAGCAAGACGUUAGUGAUGUUUGAUUGAACCACAAUAACAACAUAUGUUAUUUUAAGAAGCACAUAUUCAUUUUUUUUAGCUGGCUAAAUCAGCUUCUCUGUAUCAAGCAUCAUUUCAUAAUUUUCAGAGAGAGAGAGAAAGGUAAAUAUAUCGUGUUCAUAUAAAUAUUUACAGUUAAAAUAGAUGUUUAAAAAAUAUAUUGUUAAUUUAUUUACGUUUAAUACAAUUUUAUAAAUUCUGUGUCUGUUAUCUUUAAAAGAAAUACCUUGACAUAAAAGCUUAUGAUUUCUGUCUUUAGUGGCACCAAUUAAGGCCCUGUGCAGUCAACGCUAUGAUAACUGGAAACCAGAAUUUUGGCCUUUAGGGUUGAAUUGCAAAGAGCUGACAGGAGAUACAGAAAUGGAUGACUUCUUUGAGAUUCAAGAUGCUCAUCUUAUCAUGGCUACACCAGAAAAAUGGGACAGCAUGACAAGGAAGUGGAGAGAUAAUUGUUUGGUCCAGUUGGUUUGACAUUCUUAUUGACGAGGCUGUGUGGUCCAGUGGUUAAAGAAAAGGGGCUUGUAACCAGGAGGUCCCCCGGUUCAAAUCUCACCUCAGCCACUGACUCAUUGUGUGACCCUGAGCAAGUCACUUAACCUCCUUGUGCUCUGUCUUUCGGGUGAGACGUAAUUGUAACUGACUUUGCAGCUGAUGCAUAGUUCACCCACCCUAGUCUCUGUAA